ACUGUCACUGUGGUUGUCAGUUGUCUGUUAAUAUACUCUUUGUUGUCUGUUCUGUUUUUGUUUAUUUAUUUUGAAAGGUUUUGUAAUUUUAUUUUAAAUACUACUGUACUUUAGUUUAAAUUACGAAAGCGAUUUUAGCAAUGAAUAUUCUUGAUGAUAUCUAUAAAAAUAGUUUACAACGGAGCGAGAAGAAUAUUAAAUUUUGGGAAGAAUACUUGCAGAAUCUGACCUCGCUUGACUUUAGUGUUUACUCGGACAAACUGUCCGUGCCAAUAUUAGUGCCAAUAGGUAACAAGAUCUUGUUUAGGGGAUCUUUGAAACACACAAACGAAGUUACCGUUGCUCUUGGUGCGGAUUACUUUACUAAAUGUUCUGUAAAACAGGCUGAAGUGUUAAGACAACAUAGGAUAAAAGACUAGUGGUGCCAUAGUAGUGACUACAGAUCAACUCGCUGUACCUGAAGACAGACAAGAGAACUACUUGCCCAAAUAUUUACUUUAUCAAAAGGGUUUUGAGCACCUAGACCCGUUUGUGCCAAUGGAAAUAGGCAGAUACACCGAGAGGGAGUUCUUGUCUUGUGCCAGCUACUACAGAGACAGGCUCUGGUUGUGAGGGCCUCCCGAGCUAGAAAGUGAACUCAAACUGGCCAGUGCUUGCAAUCCUUACAAUUUUAUGGAGCUGUGUGCGCCAUUGUAAUUAGUCUUUAUUAGUUAUUAAAUAAUGUGUAGUUGAAUUAGUUUUAUUUUAUCACCUAAUUGCAAUUAUAAUUGCAGUAUAAAAAGUAAUAUUGUUAUGAGGUAAACAUAUCCAAGUCAGGUCCCAGUUAUGCCAGUAGUAUUGUCAAGCAACUUCAAGAGUUCAAACAUGAUAAAGUACCAGUCAGAAGUGUAAAGGUUGAAUCACAGCCUUGCCUUUCCAUGUCAGCACUUUCAUCUUACACUGAAUACCAUAAUUUAAUAAAAUCUACUUCCUGGUUAAGUUAAUGUAUUAAAGA